AAUAUCAUAGAAGGGAAAAUAAAAGGAAAGAGGAAGAGGAACACCGAGAAAAAAACUAGACAACUACGAGCCAGACUCGGUAGUUCGAAAAACUCGCGCGGCUAGAAGAUGUUGAUGUCAACUUUAGCCUGUCUUCUCCGAGACCACGGGGACAACGUCGUCCUCGAAACGUCGGAGGUAAAUUUAAAACUUAAUACGCGAUUAAGUCCCGUUUGUGUUAGUUAAUAAUGUAGAAAAAUGUAAUUUCAUAUUAGUCAUAUUAAUUAAUCUUGCUGACAAAUUGGUAGAGUAAAAAGCUCACGUAAAACUGGUUUGACUCUAACAUAUAAUAUUGAAAAAAAAAACCUCCCCUAAUUAUUAGGUUUUUGGAUCCGGGUAUGUCCUUAAACUACGUCCACAAGAGAGGUAUGCGCAAUGUGAAUGUCAUCUCGCCUUGUGUGGUAGGGCACAGCACAGCGGAUGUCAUUCCAGAUCUAGAGCAGAGCCCAACUGGGGAAGUACCUCCACCUUACAGAAAACCGCAGCCAAAUAACACUAGACCCUACUCAUAGUGUUGUGUUCCUGCCGGUUAGUAAGGUUGCCAGAGCUCAACGAGGGGCGGGAGGGGGUUAGGGUCGGCAACGCGCAUGUAACUCCUCUGGAGUUGCAGGCGCACAUAGGCUACGGAUACUGCUUACCAUCAGGCGAGCCGUAUGCUUGUUUGCCACCGACGUAGUAUAAAAAAAAAUGUAAAGGCGACGAAAUGUAUUGUACCAACUUCCAACGCUACCACAUGGUGGGGAACCACAUUAAUAGUAAAAGAAAAAAUCUGGAACAACUAUCAAAGUCAACCUAUUAUACGGAACAAUACAAUGCAUGAAACCUACACCGAAAACUCCAGU